CAGAUACCGGCCUGGCGGGGCAUCUGCAGAUCCCCUCGGUCAGGGGCUGCCCCGCCUGGGCUGUUCGGAGCAGCUCCUCUGUAGGGCAGGGCCUGACCUCACCCCACACCCCAGUGGCUUCAGCUCCCUGCCCAGCGCACGGGCUGCCUCCAUCAGGGCACUUAAGUAGAGUCAAGGUUUGCGCCGACUCCGUCUCCCAGAAAUCAACGUGGACCAGGCCCACUUAAAAAAUAUGCAUUAGUCGAAGACAGACGUCUCGUCCAUAGGUCCCCAGACUGUUUGUCCACAACGCAGGGCUUCUCUUUGUGGGCCUGAAGGAGCACACGUCAGGCAAGACACGAGGGCAACUUCAGAGACACUGUUCAGGGCCACGGAGAAUUCUCGAAGUCUGACUCCAGUCCCCGCAACACUCCAUCUUCCAGAGAUCUCCAGGGGUCCAGAAAUAACACCUCACAGCCUUCCAAGCUUCCCAAGGAUCCGGAGACUCCUUAUCUCGCAGCGCAAACCUCAGGCAACUACAGGUCCUCCCUGCACCUUUGAGGUGCCCCUCCCCCCACUCAAGGUUCCAGAAAAAUCCAUGCCCUCGGAAACCCCAGAAUCUUACUUUCCCGAGGCACCCCAGGACCCCAGGGUCAUCAGUUCACAGGGCUGUUAGUGCUCCCAUAAAACUCUAGCCUCCCAGAGGGACCCCAGCCCCCACCCUCCCGCCCACGAACCCCUGCAUUUCCAGAAUCAGCCCCAGGGCCCCAACCCCCCCAAGCCCCCAUUUCACAACACGCUGGCGCUACAGGCGCGUGACUUCCCCUUGCUUUGGGGCGG
rnacentral:lncRNA from 1 species